UAGGGAAUCUUCGGCAAUGGACGGAAGUCUGACCGAGCAACGCCGCGUGAGUGAAGAAGGUUUUCGGAUCGUAAAGCUCUGUUGUAAGAGAAGAACGAGUGUGAGAGUGGAAAGUUCACACUGUGACGGUAUCUUACCAGAAAGGGACGGCUAACUACGUGCCAGCAGCCGCGGUAAUACGUAGGUCCCGAGCGUUGUCCGGAUUUAUUGGGCGUAAAGCGAGCGCAGGCGGUUAGAUAAGUCUGAAGUUAAAGGCUGUGGCUUAACCAUAGUACGCUUUGGAAACUGUUUAACUUGAGUGCAAGAGGGGAGAGUGGAAUUCCAUGUGUAGCGGUGAAGUGCGUAGAUAUAUGGAGGAACACCGGUGGCGAAAGCGGCUCUCUGGCUUGUAACUGACGCUGAGGCUCGAAAGCGUGGGGAGCAAACAGGAUUAGAUACCCUGGUAGUCCACGCCGUAAACGAUGAGUGCUAGGUGUUAGACCCUUUCCGGGGUUUAGUGCCGCAGCUAACGCAUUAAGCACUCCGCCUGGGGAGUACGACCGCAAGGUUG
rnacentral:rRNA from 1 species